UGUGCUGGGGCUUUUCUCUCCCAGGAGCCGGCGGAGGGAGGGGGAGGGGCCACCGCUCCGCCUUCUCCUUUUCGCAAUGUUGACGCAAUCUAUAAAUAGUGGAACAAAAGGACCAACUUCCUCGGAGCUUUGCUGAAACUGCACAAAAAAUCGAGCUGGGGGGUUCCCUGGUCCCUGGCGACGGGGCGGGGAGCGCCGCGCCAGGGGAGGGGGCGGGCGCGGUAGCGCGGGCCCUGCCGAGGGGGGAACACCUGGCUGAGGCACGGCUGCCGCCGCACCGCUCCGCGCGAACCCAGGGCUCCGGUCCCCGCGCGGGCUCGAGAGUUCGCCCCGACCGGGGGUCUUCCUCCUCCGCCGUUGACAGGCUGCACCCUUAUUUGUUUUCCUCGAACAGUAAAAUAAUGCCGAUCGACUGACAAGUCAUCUAUGGACCCUCGGGCCCACAGUCCCCACAGUUCCUCCACGUCCGCGGCUGAGCAAAGAAGCUGCACGCACGCGCAAGAAACGAGGUCGGAGGAGAGACUGAGGAAGCAAAGUGCGAGCGGCGAACAGCGACGAUUCUGCGCAUGUACAAGGCGCGGAGGUUGGGGUAGGAGUUUGCGCAUGAGCAGAAGUGUCGGGAAAGCUAGAGAAGGGUUAGGAGGCGGUAUUGACAGCUGUGGAGGCAGCCCGCGUUCCCGGCAUGCCCCGGGGCGGCGGGGUUGGCUCUAACGAAUUUGAAUGAGGAGCCUCAGCGCUUUCGGCGCCAUUUUCGAGUGAUGCCUGAUCUCAUCAAUCUAGCGGGAGAGACGGGAUAACCUGUCCGAGAUUAUAGCGCCGCUAGGACUCCGCCGAAAAAUCACUUAAAAAAUUGCCAAAAAUUACUUCGUGCAAAGGGCAGCCCGCAGAGCUUGACCAGGGUUGGCGCAGACGGUUUUGACCUUUAGGAGAGAGCCAAUUCUGGAGAACAACCUAACUUCUCUGAUUGAACACUCACAUAAUGCAUUGGAACAUGAUAGGAGAUUAAGGUAUACUAAUGAAUUUUAAAAGCAUACUAUUUCAUAUCUUUGCAGUAUAAUUGGACUAGACCAUUAGUAAAGCUAGAACUUUUAGAUGAGCUAAAACCAAUAAAGAUUUAUUAAUAGACAGAAAUCUGUGAAGUGGUCAGGUAGGCUUCUCUUAUUAAAACUCCACGUUUUUUAAUAUAAUUGCUAUUCUCAUCGACUUUUAUUAGAUCCAGUCCCAACUGAAUUUAUUCAUUCUAAAAAGAAGAAUAUAUAUAGUGAUUUUUCUUUUUUUUUUUUAAGGUCAUUAUACUGGUAUAUAAAGAAGAAUUAAAUAGUACACUUUUCAUCUCAUAAAAUGAAAGGUUUAAAUCAAAUAGAAUUUGGUGCUUGGCUGUUUGACAGGUAUAAUGAUAGGUAGAGCCUAUAAGUUUAGGUAAGAUUAAUGAGACUAUUUUAAGAGAAUUUAAAGUAUUCCAGAUACCAUCCUAACCAAAAGUGGCAUUUUGGUUGAAACUGAAAAACCCACUUUCUUAAGCAGAAACUAGUAUCUUACUCAUAGGUACUCUGAAUAAAAUAAAUUGUUCAUAUCAAAAAUUACAGACUAUAAAAAUGUAGAAUGCCAAAACUUCCAGUGACUUAAUUUUGCCUCCAAAAUACUUUAUCACAGAGCCACUUUUCUAGUAUAUUUUCUUUGAUUUUUAUAGUUUUUUGAAGGUUUCAGAUACUUAGCUAAUAAAAAUUUUGAUUGUUUUGUAAACAGUGACCUGGUAUAAUGAAAAUGAACUUACUGAACAAUAUUACUAAGCAUUGGUUAAUUUUUGCAUGGUAAAAAUAUUAAUCACAUGAUAAAGUAUUAACCCUAACGUAUUUUUAAAAAAAGUAUUUGCUAAAGUGAGGUUUACUAAUAUAGAGCAUAAUAUGAAUUUUUCUUUAAAUUUUUUUUCACCUAAAAAUAUUUACUUUAUAUGCUUACGAUACAGGAGAGAUAGCAAAGAUUUGUUUUCCUAAGAAAAGUGUUAAUUUUGUCUUAUGAGUGAAGUGUAAUUGUCAUAUAACUGCUUGUAUCUUUAAAUGUUCAGUUAUUUUAAAGCAAAUUCUCUAAUGUGUGUUUGAACAUUGAGAUUCGUAACAAAAUAUUUAAAAACUAAUAUUCAGCAUUUAUUAUAAGAUAUUAGAUAAUCCAGGAAUGUGAAUCCAUUAACAGUUAAAGCUAAAUAAAAUGUUAAAAUUUAAUAGAAGUCAGUUUAAUAUAAGGGCAGAGUUCACAUAUUGAUAUCAUUAUACUGUAAGGUGUCACUAUAUACUGUUGGAGAUAAAUACAGGGUAUUGAAUGUCUUCAUAGCUUAGAUUUGAGAAUGUUAUAAAUAAGCAGCUUAGUUUAAAUAAGAUGGAAAUGAAUACAACUUUUUCCCCCUCUAACUUAGCCAGUGAUUUUCAGAUUAGAAAACAUUAAUAUGAAAAGUGAAAAAUGUGGUUUCUGAAUGUCUGAAAAAUAAAAACAAAUCCAGAUUCAAUUUAUCAGUUUCAAUCCAGAUAUCUUUGCACACAGCCUAUUGUUAAAUGGAGGAAGAGUGAUAGCUUUUGAGUUGAUAUUUUAGAUAAAGACAUCAAUCCCCACAGUUUCUAAUUUAGAGAGUUUAUGAUUUAUGAUCUUUUAAGUUGUCAAAACUUAUUAUUUGGACACAAACAUUUAGCACCAUAAAAUCAUCUCUCUAUAACUAUAUACUGGCUUAUAAACUUCCAAAUUUUUAGCUUAGUAAAUAAUCUAACAUGUAAGAGAUUUGGUGCAAAUAUUAAUAGUUUUCUUGUAUUUGGUCAGCUCUUACAGGAUAAGAAACUUUAACCUAAUUGGUAGUGUGUGUUAUUUUAGAAGACAGGUUAAUAAAGGCUUUUACUGCUAUGUGUGAUUGGCUAUCCUUUACCCCUUAAAGGACAUUUUCUACGGAUUUUAAGUGUUUUAAAUUUGCAAACCUGAUUAUCUAUAUCUAAGCCUUGGUAAGUACUUUAUCAUAUCAGGAUUUGGGGAAAAAGACUUACUGUGGUUUUUUUUCUCUGAUACACUUCUUAUUUGGACAGUGUUUAUAUUCUGGGUUAAAUGCAUUUUCCGGGUUAAAAAACAUUCAUUUUCAGGAAAAAUUCUUAAUUGUUCCUAAAAUACAGUUAUACUGUCAGUGUUCAAAUUUUUUUGAAAUAGUUAUCCUUAGCAGGGAAAGAAUAUUAGGAUAAACUAGAAUAGAGAAAAAAUUUAACAUGUCCACUCAGGUACUUGAAAUUCGUCAUUGUCAUUGGUAGAUAAUUCUAGUUUAUAAGGACAACGUAUUUUAAGCAGUUUCUCAGCUGUAACAACUUUCUUUAUUGUGGUUUUGUAAUGUUGCUGUGGAUUCAUUAAAGAAUAGUCAAUUAAAAAAUUUUUUUAAUGUUUAUUUGAGGCAGUUUUGUAUGUGUGUAUUUUGUGGUGUUUCUUGACCAACCAAUAAAAUAUAUUCUUAGUCUAUUUUUUCUUUUCAGAAUUAUAAUUUCUGAUAACCAUUUUCAAAACAAUAUUUAAGUAAUGGGAAGAUUUAAAUUUUUCAUUAAAUAUCAUUUUGAAGUAAAAUUUCAGUUCUUAACACGACAAAACACAGUUUUGGUAUUUUAUUAACAUGUAUGAUUUGGCUUAGUUUUACUUUCCUGUUUCAUGAUUAGAGUCACUUGGAAGAGAAACAUGUAGUGUAUUUCAGAUGUAGUUCCCGAGACUGAUUAAUCCAUUGGUUAAUAGUUCAUUAAUUUGUUACUGUUUUGUGUCUUAAUUUUUAAAUAUCCUUUUUUGAUAUUUGCUGUUAGUUUUUUCCAUUGUUUGGCUUUCAUAAUAAAUGUAUUAUAGUAUUUUUGUUACCCUGUGAUCCUCAGAAUUAUUUCUUUUAUUUUUAUUAGCAUUAUUUGUUACUGAACUGCUGCUAAACAGAACAGUUGUUUUUCAGUUUUGAUAAAAAUAAAAGAUUGGGUUUUUCCCUUUUUUUUCCCCACAAAAUGUUUUUAUCUGAAUUUUAGGUAUUUCUGUUUUAUACUUUUAUUUUUAAUCCCAAAUCUAGCCUUCUUGACUAGAUAUUAUUUAAAUUCAGCCAGUUCUAGCAUUUAAAAAAAUAAUUUAUAGAUGUCCUAAUUUUCCUGAGUUUUUAAGUAUUUUUCAGAAUCAAAAAUUGCUUAAGGCAUUAAAAGAUAAGGAUUGCAUUUAAAAUUGAAGUAUUAAUUUAAUGCUAUUGGAUAUAAAUAGCAUCACAUUUAAAUUUAAAGAUAAUUUGACAGAAUACUUCUAUUUGUUACUCAUUUGAUAUUAUGUACUAAGUUUUUAGCUUCAUAUUACACAUUUAAAGUAGAUAAAUUACAUGUGGAAAUUUUUUUAAUAGUUGGGAGUUUUUUUGUAAAAGAAAAAAAGUUUAUGGGCUAAAAAUCUUCUUUGUUAAUAGGGUCUGAUUGCAAACAUAUGGUGAUGAUUAGAUAUGUGGGACUUGGGAGUCUGGAGCUUUUUAUAAGCAAAAUAUAAUUUCAUUUCUUGAUUAAAUUUUAGAUACUUUCUUAUCUUCCAGGAGAAUGGAUAGGAAAGAUAAUAUGAAUUUAUGAAUUCAUGGCAAAUCUGGCUAAAACUUUUCUGAGAAUUUUGAUAUGUGAGCAGUUAAAUCUAAACUAGGAGCUGAAGAUCAUUACAUGUGUCAUUAAUUUUUUUCCUUAGAUACAUUAUAAGUUCACUUUCUAAUCAAAACACUAAUUUUGUCUUCUACUCUUCCCAUCCUACUUUUUAAGAAAAAAAAAAAAUUCUUAAAUAAUUGUACCAUAUAGUGAUGUAAGCAGACCUGCUAGGUAGGUUGGGCCUGAACCAUUUUUGUCUUCUGUGUCAGUUGCAUAUGCUUUUCUUAGCUUGCUGCUUCAGCAGCAGCAGCAGCAGCAACAAUGAAUAAACAAGUAUCACCACAGCCCUUGUUCUUGUCCCUUACAGCUGGGAGCAGGGGCUGGGAGAUUGCUGCUGCAUGUCAGCUGUUGUACAGAAUAGCAUCAAUAUGCAAUAAUGGUGGCCAAAGGAGCCUACACCCACCAGCUUUUACAGACCAGGAAAAAAUCAAAAGUACUAUAAAUGUUAAGCAACAGGAGAAUGGCAAAUUGUGUCAUAGUCAUAUGAUGAACUGUUUAUUAUACUGCUGUUUAAGUGAGAGCUCUGUGUGAUCAUGGAUGAGUGUCUUCGGCGAACAAAAACAAGUUGCAAAAGGUUGUAUGUUAUAUAAUAUUUAUAUAAGAUAUAUAGCAUUUAUGUAAAGCUAGAAAGCAAUGAUAUAUAUGGUUUUAAGUACUUGAUUUUAUAGUAGUAGUAGUGUAAAAGCAUGUAUAGGAAAUAAAUGCCAGAUUCAAGAUUGUAAUUUUAUAUUAGGAGAGAAAGGAAUGGGAUCAGGGUAUGGUACGAAAAGGAUUCAACUAUAUGCAUAGGCUUUUUCUUUAAAAAAAAAAAAAAAUACGUAAAGCAAAAUAAGCCUGGCAGAAUAUUAGAAUUCCAUGAGAAGGCCAGUGAUUUGAAAUUUUCCUGUGGAUUUGAAGUAUUUUUUCAAAUAUAUCAAAAAAUGUGCUGUCUUUAUUUUGGUGAAGAUCUUCUACAAUAAGAUGUAUACUUAGGAUGCUCCUAAAAGCAUGGAUGACUUUAUUCUAUUUGUUCUAUAUCUUACAGUAACUAAUAGAAAUAGUACUUCCUACUCUUGUAAAUAAAGAACAGCCUUGGAGGCAAUUUUUCUUAUCACUGCUCUUCCAUUUACCCUUGAAUUCAGACAGUUUCACAAUAGUAUUUUCUUUUGUUAUGGCUAUCGAUCAUAACGUUAUUUUCAGAAUUUGUUUAUGCAUUUGAAACUCCAACUUAAGCUUUGUAUUAUACUGUUUUACAGUAGAAUUCUUGGAAUUAAGCAAUAUAUGGAUUUUUACAUUUUGCAUUUGUAUACAUGUUACAUGUGUGUAUGUGUGUGAGAGAAAGAUUGGUCAAUCUUGAGGUAUGAUCUUGAAUUUAUCUUAAAAUAUCUGCACUUAGAUGAUGUCCUCUAGAAGCUGAGUGUGCUCCAAGUUAGACAUGAAGUGUGAGUUUUAGUUGCACUUAGAUAUUUGACUUUAAACUUUGAGAAGGUAAUAGUAAUAGCAAAGUGAAUUUUAAAAACUAAUGAUAACACUUUGGACUGAAAUAGGUAAAUGCUGCUUGGUGUUCAUAAUCUGUGAUUGUGCUGUAUAAGUAUCAGAAAGCUGUGAUUAUCAACUUUAGCUGAAAAUUCUUUUAACUUCUAUAAUGUGAUCAAUUUUUUAAAGUCUUCACUCUUAUUUUUUUUCCUAGGUUUAAUAAAGAUAAAAUGAAGACCAUAAUAAAAUAGUCCCCUACUUAGCCCAGCAAUUCUUACCUUUCUUACCUACUGGAUGGAAGAUGUCUUUAGAAAGGCAUACCGCAAGGAAUGAACUGCUGUCUGUAAAUUUUGCUUUUACCAAGGUAAAGACCAAAUUUUAUGAAUUCACUUUGUGUUUAUAAAAGGAAAAAAAACUUUUAUGUAUUUAAUACAUUCAAAAAUUUGAUUAAAUAUUUAACUUUAUUGGCUUAUUAAGUUGACAAAGGGGGAGGAAAUGCUUAGCUUUUCCUCAUAUUACACAUCUUUGUGUUCCUAACCUAUAGCAAUAUGCUUAGCACGUAGUAGGCUUUCCUUAAACAUUUGAUGUAGAAAUAAAUUUUACUAUUCUACUUAAAAGCUUCUAAGAAAUAGCUAUUUAUGUAUACUUUGUCCGUUACAAUCUUUAAAUAUUGGUUUCUUAAUGUAUUCUCUUCUAAAAGAAAAAAAUUUUUUGUAUCUUCAGGUGCUAAUGUGUGUUUAAAAAACAAAACCUUGGAGUAAAGUAGCAGCACAUAAUGGUUUGUGGAUUUUGAAAAGGUGCAGGCCAUAUUGUGCUGCCUCAAAAAUACAAGGAUCUGAUCUUCUGAAGAAAAUAUAUUUCUUUUUAUUCAUAGCUCUUAUGAUAGUGAUGUCAGCAGUGCCUUAGCAGCACGUAAAUAUUGGCGUUAAGAUUCUAAAAUUAUCUCCAGUAUUAACUGUGCUGCUGAAGUAAGGCUGGCCAUGUUCUACAGUCUAAUAUGUUUUAUAUUUUAACAUGUCUUAAUAUGUAUUAACAUCAUUGAUAUAUCUUCAGUUUUAUUGAUAAUGUAUUUUCAAUAUUAUUGAGAAUCUUGUUAUCUUUAGUAUGAUUCUAUAAAAAUAAGUAGUAACUUUUAAGAUGUAUUUGUAUUAACAUGGUUGUGGGGUACCUGGCUGGCUCAGUCAGUAGAGUGUGUAACGCUUGCUCUCGGAAUUGUAAGUUCAAGUACCACAUUGCGUGUAGAGAUUACUUAAAAUCUGUAAAAAAAAUAAUGUAAGUGCAAUUUAAUAAUAGUGUUGAAUGCCAUCAAGAGUUUAUUGAAAGAGCUUAUACAGAACCAAAUUUACUCUAAUGCAUAUUUAUAUUCAUUGUAAAUACUGAAAUUUUUAAAUACUCAUUUUUCCUUUGUUUCUCCAGUAAAAUGAAGUUUAAAAAUAUUUGCUUAUUUCACAGAUAAGUGUGCAUUAUAAAAUAUACAUUCUGAACAGAACUUACAAGACGAUUUUUAGUAAUGUUUCUAAAUAUUUCGUUAGAAGGGGGAAAUUUCAAAACGUGUGAAUUAAAUCCCUGAAAUCCUGGGUCUCAAAAUGCUCUUAAUCAUAAACUCAAAGGUAGGAAAGGCCUUACAGAUGACCUGCCUAUUUUUUGGGUGGCUCAGGAAACAAAUUCAAAUUAGGUAAUUUGCCCCACAUGACAGAUUAGAAUCUUAAUCCUAUGCCUUCUGACUUUACACUAUCAUUGUUUUAUCUUGUUUCUAUUAAAUCCUUAGCUGAAGAUUUUUGACAAGUUGAAAAUGUGACUUUGUUUGCUUUUUUAUAGUCAAUAUUUAACUUCACAGUAAAAGUAAAAAUUAUUAUUAUAGUUACUAAUUUUAUAGAUGUAACAGUUGAAAUUUUUAAUUUAAGAUUUAAAGAAAAAUGUUUUCUUUACCUUCUGUUUCUUAUUGUUUUAUUAAGUCAUUAAACUAAAAAUUAAUGUUCAGGACAAGACAGGUGUUUUUGUGUAGCAUAUCACACUUUUGGUCUUCUUUUCUACAAGGAAUAGCUUACCCUUUUCAAUUGCAGCCAAACAGGAAAUUUACAAAAUAAAAGCACUUCUUAACAAAUCAUUUCCAAUUAUUAUUGUCUUUUAGAAACCCUAAAAGUACUUCAGAUGUAAUUUAAGGAAUUGUAAUCAAGGAUCUUCUUUUUAAAGUCUAAUGUGAAGGUAAAGAAAAUAUGUAAGGCAAAGCUCUCAUUUUUAAAAACAAUUUUUCCCCAGCAAAAAUUUUUUUCCCCAAAUUAGGAAGCAGUAUACCAUAUAUACGGUAGCUAGAAUUAAAUGCCAGCUUUUACAUUAAGUACAAUUAAGCACUAUUGACUUGGUGCUUUGAAAAAUCAUUCAUCAAGCUGUUCACCUCUUUUCCUUUAUUUCAUUUCAACUAUUUUAUGAAAGACUAACAAAUAUAACUUUUGAUUCCACUGAAAGUACUCCAAGAUUUAACAUCUAGAUUCUUAGAAAUAUUUAUUAAAUGAAUUACAAAGUUUGUCCACUAUUUUCCAGAAUAACUCAGGAAUUAGAUACCUUUUUUCCUGUUUUUGUUUUUCUAAGUAUAUUAUGUUUAGUCUAAUCUGCCUUCUAAAUGAAAGAGAGAAAACCUGGAUUUUACAUUUACUAGGUGAAUUUUUAUACCUAGGUCCUCCAGAUGUGAAGAAGGAACACUUGGGGCUAUUAUUGCUAAAUGAAAACUUGUUUUAAUCCUGAGAAUAGAUUAAAGGAAAAUGAAAAUAUUGGUAAAGUGAGAAACUAUAGAAAAACUGUUACAAUGAAAUUUAUCAUAACAGCAUUCAGCUUCUUUUCAGUCUCUUAAGAGGAAGUAGCCUGUCAGUACCUAAUGAAACACACACAUUUAGGUAAUUCAGAACUGGAAGUUGUAUUUGUACGAGUUAAUACACUUUAUCUUUGUGCAAUUUUGAACACAUUGAAAGCAAAUAGUAAAAUAAAAGUUGUACCUUUUAAUGUUAACCUUAAUUUGACUAUUUUUACAAAGAAAAAAUAAGUAUAUACAGGUGUGUGUUUUCAUUUUUUCCAUCAUCUUUGGGAAAAAAAUGCUCAUCUUCUUUCAUUCAAGUUUCUUUUUAAGUUGAUGCCAAAUAAUUUCAAUAUUGAGCAUCUUAAAUCUGUUACUUGGAAUAUGGAUUGAGUUUGUUUGGAGCUAACUCAGAGGACUCAGGCAAGUAUUCAGGAGGUAGCAAGAGGAAUAUUGUAAUAGUUGAAUAACUCAGUUCACAUCCUGUAUUUAAAGGCAGAUCUCUUAAGGUCACACAUAUUGAUAUGGGAUAGUAAAUAUGAAAAUUUGGCCUUAGACUUAAUUCUGUACUCAACAAUGAAGAUUGUCUUCAAUCAAUUAUAUAUCCUUUUGGUUGUUAGAGAAUUACAUGUUGUUUUUAAGCCACUAAGUGUCAUUAUGGGUAUAUGCCCAGGUUAGCUCUAUUGGAUUAGCAAGAUUAUGCUUGCAUAAACUGUGAUCUCUGUUAAUGAUUUAUCAAUUUAGAAAUUGACAUUCUAAAUCAAUUUUUUUUCCUUUUACAGGUGGAUAUUACUAUCCCUUAUUCUUCGAAAAAGUUUUAUUCUCAGUGUUGUUUCUCAUUGAGUAUUAACAAAAAGAAAAAUUAAUGUUCCAAACUUUUCAGAUAGAUUUGGUCCUAGUAAGUAUUUAGACAUACUAUUUGCAUAGCUAGAAGAAGAAAUGAGACCAUCAUCAUUUCCAGCUAAAAUUUUUUAUUUUCAUCUGUUAUCAAAGGAUUUCUUAUAAUUUCUGUCUUAUUAAUAGCUUGAGCCCCUUUAAUGCAGAAUUAACUCACACCAGAAAUGUGAGAGUAUAUAUUCUUGCCUUAUUUAUUUAUAAAUAUAUCUCACAAAUUUCCGAUGUCUUUUUUUAAAGCUAUAUAUGAAGAAAAAAAUAAUUGACAAAAUAAAUACUAAGUUUAAACCUCUAAUGUUAAAGUUACUGUGUGAGGUGACAAAUUACUUGCUUUUUUUUUUUUUGUCUUUAUUUUACUGAAAUUAAAUUCAACAUUUAUAAUUUCUAUUUGGGUCUAUUUCUUGAUUACUAAUACAUUGAAUUCAUGUAAAAAACUUUAUGAGUAAUAUACUGAAAUUAGCAUACUGAUGAUUACAGUUCUCCCUUAAUUCUGUGGAACUUUGAAUAAUCUGGUAUUACAUUCUUGCAAUUGAACUUUUGUGUUUUGAAGAAAUGUAAACCGCCUGGAAAAUGUUAUUAUUGUUUGUAUUUAUCAUAUGCCAUAGGAUUAGAUUUUGUUUGAGAAAUUUUUAGCUACCUAUUUACACAAAAUGCCUACUCAGUUUGAUUAACUUGUUAUUCAAAGGUAUUCUCUUUGUUUUAUAAUUUAACCACUUACUACCAUGGAUUAUUCUAUUAAGGAAUAUCUUUAGGAAGUGAUAGAAAUUCUGAAUCACCCUAAAGUUUGCUAAUUUCCGCAUCUCAUUAUUUUAUAAUUUUGGGGAAUGCUUGUAUUAUACCAUUUCAGGAAUAUAAGUUUUUAUUAUACCACUAAAACUAUUUCUUUUUGGACUUAAUGCAUAUGAUAGUAAAUCACAGAAUUUUUUUUAAGUUUCCAUGUCCUCAAUAUUAAAAAUGCUGUUUUAGCCUGAAGCAAGCAAUGAAGAAGGGUAUUUAUUGUCCUACCGUGUAAGUCAAGAAAGUUGAAUAAGUACAUGAUUUCUUAAGAGAAUUUAUAAAUUUUAACAUGGUCAAUGCAGACUUUUAUGUUAAUUUGUUUAUAUUCUCAUGAAUGUCUUUUGUGGCAGUGUGAAAAUGCAGAUGUUUGACAGGGAGCAUUAAAAAUAGAUUUGAGGGGUGCCUGGGUGGUUCAGUCGGUUAAGCAUCUGACUUCACCUCAGGUCAUGAUCUCGCAGUUUGUGAGUUCAAGCCCCGCAUCAGGCUCUGUGCUGACCGCUGAGAGCCUGGAGCCUGCUUCAGAUUCUGUGUCUCCCUCUCUCUCUGCCCCUCCCCUGCUCAUGCUCUGUCUCUGUCUCAAAAAUAAAUAAAACAUUAAAAAAUUAAAAAUAAUAAUAAAAUAAAAAUAGAUUUGAAACAUUUAUAAAGAGAGGUACAAAUUUAUUCUACUCAAAUGCUGAGGAUCUAGAACAAAACAAACAAAUUUCUGCCCUCAUAGAGUGUAGGAUCUUGGAAGUGAGAUGUGAGUAAUAAACUAGACGAAAAAUUGAUAGGUACUAUAUGUGGUGUGUCAGAUGGUAGUACUUUGUAGAAAAAUAAUGCAAAGGAGGUGGAAAGGAUGGAAUAAAGGUGUUUGGAAGACAGGAGAGAGAAGUUUUUAAAUACUGUAGAGAGAAAAUGCUUGACAAAUGAUUAUUUAGACAAAGAUUUUUAAAACGAUGAGCAAAUUAUUAGGUAUCUGGGAAAAGAGCCUUUCGGGCAGGUGAAAUAACAACUUCAAAGAUCUUCAGGCUGAACCACUUUUGGUGUGUACAAGAAACAGCAAGGAGAUCUGGUUGGCUACGAUUAAAUACACAAGAAGGGGACUCAUAAUUCAUGGGAUCGAAGAGUCUGUAAGGGCUAGAUCUUAUGGCUGUUUUCAGCUUUUAGCUUGUUCUACAGAUUUAAUUUUUCAUACUUCCUUCAGAGAACUUUGACAGCAGUAUGCGUCUCAGCCUAUUUGACCUUUGUAGGUAGAACAGUAUUUUUAUAAAUCUGACUCAAGAUUACAACCUCCAUCAGACACUAUUGUUUAAACAUUUUAAACAAAAUGUUUAAAUAGUUGGUUAAUAGGUACAUGUGUGAUGAUCAGAUUUUUACAAAUUAUGCUUUGAUGGCUCUGAAUUUGUUUUCCACUUGAUCAGUUUAGCUUGUCAAAGCUAACAGCUCCAGGAGACACUAAACUUACUCAUGUUUGUCAUUUACCCAAACAAAUCACCGCCAUUUGAUGCCUCCAUUCUGGAAUUGAUGUCAUAAUUAAGUAUUUAAUGAUUUAUCACCUGUUCUGUAGCAUCUUAGCUGAAACAUUCUUUGCCUGGAAUUGUUUCAUUCGCUAUGGCAUGUAUUUUGAUAGCACUACUACGUCCCCUCCAAAAGGUGAGAACUGAUCUUCCAUCUGUACCUGGAUCAUGUGGAGAAAGGACUGAGAAUGGAAGCAGAAAACAGACAUUGUCCAUGUAGAGCAGACUGCCUGACAACUGCUCACUCUAAUAAAGGGCAAUAAAUGCCACACGAGAUGAUCCUCUCAUCACAAAACUUUACAUUUGACUUAUAUGCCUGGUCUGAUAACUUCUAUCUUUUUAUGACUCCUAAAUUGUGGAGAGAGAGAGCGCAAGCAUGAGCCUGGGAGGGGCAGAGAGAAAGGGAGAGAGAGAAUCCCAAGCAGGCUCUGGGCUGAUGUGGGGCUCAAACUCAACAAACCAUGAGAUCAUGACCUGGGCCGAAAUCAAGAAUUGGACGCUUAAACCAACUGAGCCACCCAGGCGCCUGGAAGGCCUAAUAAUUCUUGAAGUGCAGUUCUGUGGCAAAGCUGAGUGACAGAGAGAACGUGCAACUGGGGGAGAAGGGCAGAGGGAGAGAGAGAGAAAAUCUCAAGCAGGUGCCACACUCAACCAGAGCUGGACACAGGGUGAGGCUCAAUCUCACAAUCCUGGGAUCAUGACCUGAGCCGAAAUCAAGAGUCAGAUGCUCAACCUACUGAGCCACCCAGGUGCCCCUAUUUUUUUAUUUUUUAAAGAUUUUGGUUUUAUUUUUUUUUAAGUUUAUUUAUUUAUUUUGAGAGAGAGAGAGGGAGCAGGGGAGGGGCAGAGAGAGAGAAUCCCAAGCAGGCUCUGUGCUGUCAGUGCAGAGCCCGACAUGGGGCUCAGUCCCACAAAUUGUGAGAUCAUGACCUGAGCCAAAUUCAAGAGUCCAACACUAAACUGACUAAGCCACCCAGGCACCCCAAAGAUUUUAUUUUAUUUUUUAAUUUUUUAAUGUUUAUUUAUUAUUGAGAGACAGAGACAGAGCUGUAGCAGGGGAGGGGCAGAGAGAGGAGGAGACACAGAAUCUGAACCAGGCUCCAGGCUCAGAGCUGUCAGCACAGAGCCCGAUGUGGGGCUCGAACUCACAAACCGUGAGAUCAUGACCUGAACUGAAGUCGGACGUUUAACCGACUGAGCCACCCAGGCACCCGCCCUAAAGAUUUUAUUUUCAAUCUCUACACCCAACAUGGGGCUCAAGCUGACAACCCCAAGAUCGAGUUGUACACCCUCCCGACUGAGCCAGCCAGGCACCCCAGUCAUACCACUUUUAGAUGAUAAAAACCUUUUGAAUUUAAAACUUUAGCAGAGGCAUGCUCCUUCCUGUCCCAUAGCCUUUCCUCCUUGUGGGCAAUUGAGCUAGCUCUUGUGUUGCCCAAGGCUUGAACCCCUUCCAGCUUCUGGGCUCCUACCCUUGUAGCUCCUUCUCUCCCUAAUGCACCCUCUUCUUGCCACCAAACCUCCCCUCCCCACUUUGGUCCCCCAAUCGCAGCACAGCUGACACAUCCCAAGUUGGCUUUCCAAAAUGUUCCAGGCCAGGGAUGGAUCCCUCUGAGUCAUCUCACUCUGCCCUGUACUCUUCUUCCUUUGCACACACUGCAGUUUGUUCUUACAUAUUUGCUUGUAUAAUUACUUGAACAAUGCUUGUCUCCACUUGACUGUACACCCUGUAAGAGCAGGGAUUGUGUGUGUUGUGUGCAUGUGUGUGUCUUGUGUUUCCUCAUCAAUGCAUUGCCAGCACCUAACCCAAUGACUAUAAAUUUUUUUAUGAAUGUUUCAGGGAAGUAAGAACUCUCUCUUUCAAAGACUAUUGAUGCAUUUCAACCUUCUAGAAAUUAGCUCUUGAGACCAGAUGAAAUGGUAAUGUACUCCAAACUUUAUUCACUUAAAAUAAGGACUUUACUAUACUUUAUUUGAUCAAAACAUUAUUUCCACCCCCCCCCCCAUAUUUGCAAAGCAGUUUUUCAGACUCCUUAUAGAAUUUACAAGAUGUGUCAACAGUCUACACUCUUUCACGGCAUAGCUUGUCUUGGAAAAUGAAGAUAAUUUCUUGAACAGUCCAUCAGAGAAUUCUCAUAAAAAUUUGAAAACCUUCCACUGCACAAAAGUUAAGCAAUAUGCCACAAAAAAGACUUAAUGAUAUAACUCAAUAAAAAUGUAAAACUGUUCAUGUUUAAAGCACAAUAUAGUCGUGAUAGCACACAACUAUUAAAAGGAAGGCAGGUGUCUGGGUGGCUCAGCUCAUGAUCUCGAAGUCCCUGAAUUCAAACUCAGGGACUAGCUUUGGAUCCUCUGUCCCCCUCUCUCUGCCCCUCCCUGCUCAUGCUCUCUCAAAAGUAAAAUUAAAAACAUUAAAAAAAGAAAAGAUAAAGCUAUAUGUAUUGACAAUGGCAUAUAUAUAAGAUAUAGUAAGUAAAUUGGGGGUCCCUGGAUGGCUCAGUCCGUUAAGCUCUGACUUCGGCUCAGGUCAUGAUCUCAUGACUUGUGGGUUCGAGCCCCGUGUCAGGCUCUGUGCUGACAGCUUAGAGCCUGGAACCUGCUUCAGACUCUGUGUCUCCCUCACUCUCUGCCCCUCCCCCACUCGUGCUCUGUCUCUCUCAAAAAUAAAUAAACAUUAAAAAAAUUAUUUAAAAAGAAGACAGUAAGUGAAAAAUCAAGUUAAAAACAACAUGUGUAUCAGGAUUCCAAUUUUGAAAAGAAAUGUAAUUGGUAGAAUAUGGAUAGGAAAAAACAUUUGGAGGAAUAUACACCAAACUGUCAGUUGGAGAGGGUGAAAUUUGGAAUUUUUCAGUAUUUAUGUUUUAUAUUAUUAUAAUUCUUUUAUAUUUUUACACUAAACAUCUAUUACUUUUGUAAUGUAUUAAAAAAAAAAGGAAAGAGAAAAAUUUGUAAAAGAAAAAGACACUCAAUUGGAACUCUUCCAAAUGAAUAAUAAGGUAACACCUAGACAGAAAAACAGGCCAAAUACAUGAAAAACAGGACAUUAAAAAAGGAAAUACAAAUGAUCAAUAAGCAGGAGAAAAAAUGUUCAUUCUUAAUGAGAAUCAAAGAAAUACCAAGCAAAAUGUUAUUGCAGCCUGUUUUAGUUCAUUAAAUUCGCAGAGAUUUAAACCAUUAUAAUGACCAAUAGGUCAGCAAUGAGUCACACAGGCCAUCUUGUUAGCUGAUGGAAACUAACAUAGAUGGAUACAGCCUUUCAGAGGACAGUAAUCUGUAUUAAAAAACCUGAAAAUACAUAUACUUAAUUCAAUUUCUAGGAAUUUAUCCUACAAAAGUAGUCAUAAACACCACAAUUUAUAUGCCAAGAAUAUUUGUACACAGCUAUCAGAGGAAAAUUAGAAAUAUUGUUAUUAUCUAUCAAAAAGAUAUGAGUUAAAUUAAUCCUGGUACCUUCAUACAAAAUAAUAAUAUGUAGCCAUUUUUUAAAGUUUAUUUAUUUUGAGAGAGAGAGAGAGAGAGAGAGAGAGCAGGGAGAGGCAGAGAGAAAGAAUCCCAAGCAGGCUCCAGUACAGAGCCUGAUGCAGGGCUCUAUCCCGUGAGUCAUUAGAUCAUGACCUGAGCUGAAAUCAAGAGUUGGACGCCUAACUGACUGAGCCAACCAAGCGCCCCAAUGUGUAGCCAUUUACAAAAUGAUUUAGAAGACUAUUUAACAACUUGAAAAAUUAAUGUCUCUUAUAAGUGGAGAAAAGCAAAUUUCAAAAGGUGUAUAUAUAGCAUAACACAGAUUGUGUGUGCACGCAUACAUAUGCACAUAUUAAAAAGACUGAUCACGAUGUCAACAAUUGUUAUCCAUAGUAAUAUAAAGUGGAAAUAACCUUUAUUUUGUCCUGAUUCUUCACUGGAUUUUUCAAAGUUUCUCUAAUGGUUAUAUGAUGUAUAUCUUUAUAGUCCUAAAAAAAAGUUCUUUUAAAAGUUGCUGGCCUAUGCUUUGGAAAAAAACUUGGCAGUUCCUCUAAAAAUUAAACAGAGUUAAGUAUAUGAUCUGACAUGUCUGCUCCUAGAUAUAUUCCCAAGAGAAUUGAAAGCAUAUGUACAGAGACACCUGGGUAUCUCAGUCAAUUAAGUGACCAACUCUUGGUUUCAGCUCAGGUCAUAAUCUCAUGGUUUGUGAGAUUAAGCCCCACAUUAGGCUCUGUGCUAGAUUAGGAUUCUGUGCUAGAAAAGGUUCUCUCCCUCUGUCUCUGCCCCUUCCCUGCUUGUGCACUCUCUCUCUCUCUCAAAAUAAAUAAACAUUUAAAAAAUUAAUUAAAAAAAAGAAAGCAUAUGUACAAACAAUAACAUAUAUGAAUGUUCAUAGCAGCAUUAUGUAAAAUACCCCCCCCCAAAUAGAAGUAACACAAAUGCUCAUGAACUGAUGGAUGAAUAUGCAAAAGGUGGUAUGUCUAUUCAAAGGAAUAGUAUUCAGCUGUGUAAAGGAAUGAUACUGAUUCAUGCUACAGCAUGGAUUUUAACGACUACAUUAUACUGAAUGUGAAAGAAGCUUGUCAAAAGGCCAUAUAUUGAUAUAUUGCAGGAGUCCAUUCAGAUGAAUUGUCCAGAAAAAGCAUAUAAAAAUCAUAUAAAUAGAAAGUUGAUGAGUGGUUGCCAGGGACAGGGGAGAAGGAAGAAUGAUGAGUGGCCGCUAAUGAGUACAGGGGGUAAUGAAAUAAUUCUGGAAUUAGAUAGCGGUGAUGGUUGCACACAACCUUGUGAAUAUGCUAAAGCCCACUGAAUUUUAACAAUUCAAAGAGGGAGAAUUCUAUGGUAUAUGAAUUAUAGCUCAAUUUUUAAAUGUGGGAAAAUUUUCCUAGAAAAGAAUAACAGCAUUUUAAAAGUAUAUAUUACUUUAUAAACAUAACCUACAGAGUGAUAACUGCUGUGGUAGAGGGUGGGAACAUACAGGGAAAACAUCUAACAGUACCUGGGGGCAGAGGAGGCCUCCAUUAAAACAGAGACUCUCAAACAUUUUGAAAAUAAUAAAUAAAAAGAAACUUUUUCUAAGUUUAUUUUUGGGAGAGAAGAGAGCACAUGAGCAUGAGCAGGAGAGGGUCAGAGAGAGAGGAGGACAGAGGAUCUGAAGCAGGUUCUGCGCUGACAGCAGAGAGCCCAAUGUGGGGCUUGAACUAACGAACCAUGAGAGCAUGACCUGAGCCGAAGUGGGACGCUUAACCAACUAAGCCCCCCAGGUGCCCCAAAAUAAACUUUAUUUAUUAAUUCAUCUAAAAAUAACCAAUAAAUAAUCUAAUAAUAUCCAAAUACAAAUAUAACAUUAUUAUUAUAACAUAUUAUUAUAAAUAAUAACAAAAAAUAAUCUAAUAAUAAUCCAUUGUAUCACUCAGUUCUCUCAAUGAUGACAUCUUAUGUAAUUGCAGGACAUUCUCAAAACCAGGAACCUGAUGUUACAGAAUUCAGCUGACUACAGACAUUGUUCAGGCUUUACCAGAUUUUGCAUGCACUCCUUUCUAAAAAACAAUUUUUUAACUGAAAAGACAAUAUAACAACAACACUUAAAAUUUUUAAAUAAAUGGUUACAACUACCCAUAAUGUUACUAUAAAACCAGCCUGAUUACCUUAUUCAGAAAUAUAUUAAAAUUUUAUCAUAAGAUAGUUUAAAUACACAAAAAAGUUAUAUAAAAAAUAGCUAUGUACCCACAUUAUCUCCAUGUAUGUUUUUACACCUUUACUACAUAUGUAAAUAUCCGUGAAAAUAAAUAGUAUUACUUUACACAACUAAAAACCUUAUAUAAUAAUCGUGUCACAAUACACAAGGAUGUGUAUUUUUAAGAAUAGAUGUUUCUAUCAUAGUAACACACACUGUCAGUUGCUGGUUGAGGAGGGAACUUUGCCACCCUCUCUGCCCACCAAGGGGUUAUCAUGGAGGUCAGAGCUGAGGCUCUAGUGAGGACUUGGAUUAGAAUCCAGGGUUGUUUUCUUCUUCUUCUUCUUCUUCUUCUUCUUCUUCUUCUUCUUCUUCUUCUUUAUAGAAUUUUUUUCAUUCUUUUCAUUAAUUAUUUUGAGAGAGAAAGAGAACACAUGGAAGUCGGGGAGGGGCAGAAAGAAAGAUCAGAUCCUGACCUGAGCCAAAAUCUAGUGUGGGACACUUAAACAACUGAGCCACCCAGGCACCCCGGGAAUCUGGAAUCUUCUAUUCACCAACAGUGUAACAGGACACAAAUUACUUACUCUCUGAUUCACAGUGUUCUCAUCUGUAAAACAGAGGUAAUGACAGUUCCUAUUUCAUAAAGUGACGAGUAGAAAUUAAGGUUAUGCAUGGGAAAUGCUUGGUACGGUGAAACACAGUACCUAGAAGUGUCAAUAGGUGUUACUAUCAUUGGCAUCUUUAUUAUUGCAGAUACGAAUUCAGACAUGGAUCUAACGUUCUUCCCACAAUGAAACAGAAUGUUGCGUUUAAUACCCAGAGCCAACUCAGAGUAAGAGAGUAUUUCGUGCUUUCUGCCUUCUCCCUGUGAGGUGCUGCUAGUUAACAUUCAGCUUUGGCAAAGGUCAGGGAUGGGAAGCCGUGCUUUAUAGUGUUUACCAAUUUCUGUGGUGUAAAAAUACUCCCACCCUGGUAGAUUUCAACCUGAAGUUCACUGAAUGCAGAGGCAGAAAGAGAUGAUCACAAUCUUCUCUCUCAAAUUCAUGGAGCCUGCCCUGGCACACCCAAGAGGUAAUCUCUCUUCUCUUUUGCAGUCCCUUUGUUCCCUGAUGAAACCAGAUCUCUUCCCUCUCAGGCGGAGGACCUGUAUGUCUCCCUGCUGUCCUCCUGCAGAGACUUCCUGUUUCGCUGAGGAAAUAGAAGCAAGCCAGAGAGGACUCCACAAGCUCCCACCUGCACUUGUCCCCCAUCCCUGCCUUCCGUCCUGUGGGUGCCAGGGAGGAAGGCCCUCCGGCAGGUGCACACACUCCAUCCCUCCAGCCUUCUCUGGUGAGUGUCCUUCUUUCUCCUUCAUGGUGCCAUCAGCAGGACUUUCCUCCACUGUCACAAGGCCACCUCCUGAUGACCCACCUGCCCCUGCAGCCACCACCUCAUGUUUCUGACCGUCUCUACAGCACAACCACUUUUGCUCACCACCUUCACCUUCUCUUUCUGCAUCCCCUCUGAACCCUUGCCAGCCUGCUGUGUCCCACUGUCCCACUGAAACUCCUCGUUUGCUAAGCUUCCACAUUGGCAGACCCAAUGCUUGAUCCUCAUUUCCCAGACCUGUGGCAGCAUGGGAGCCCUCUUCCUGCACUGCCCUGGCCUCCAUUAUUGUUCCUGUUUCUGACUCCAAGCAAGGCUCCCUGCAACCACUCCUGCCCAUCUUCACAGGCACAUCUCUGACCUGCUCAUAUUCCUCCCCUGCUGCCCACCCACUCAGUGUCCAAGUCCUGGGUGGGGCAGGGAACUCCAAGUUCCUACAUGGCCUGCCCUCUCCCCAAACCACCCCCAGGACCUCUCUGACCUCUGCUUACUGCCAUACCUUACUCUCUGUGCUCUAGACACGUCUGCUUCAUUGCUGUUCCACAAACACGCCAAGCACACUCUUCCACAGGGCCUUUGCACUUGCUCUACCCUCUGUCUAGAAUGUUCUUCCUCCAGAAUCCACUUGGCUCACUCCUUUGUCACCUUCAUGUUUCUGCUCUAGUGUCACUUUCUUGGGAAGACCUUCCUGGCCAUCCCCUCAGCCAUCCUGGUGGCCCCUCACUGCCACUCAGCACUCCCUAGUCUCCUUUUCUUUCUUUUUUUUUUUAAGUUUUUUUUUUUAUUAAUCUCUACAUUGUGGGGCACAAACUCAUGACCCUGAGGUCAAGAGUCACAUGCUCUACCAAAUGGAUCACCCAGGCUCCCUCCUAUUCUCCUUUUCUACUUCAUUUUUCUCCAUAGAACUUACUACUAUCUGAUAGCCUAGAUAUUUUUUUAAUUACUGUUUCCUCCCACUAGAAUGUAAGCUCUAUGAGUUAAAGUUUAAAAAGACCAC